rnacentral:lncRNA from 1 species
CCCAUACAAACCCCAUACGGACCCCAUACAGCCGUGCUUUUAGGACUUCCCCCAUACAGACCACAUACAGCCGUGCUUUUAGGGUUUCCCCCAUACAGACCCCAUACAGCCGUGCUUUUGGGAUUUCCCCCAUACAGACCCCAUACAGACACACUUUUAGGGUUUCCCCCAUACAGACCCCAUACAGAUGUGGUUUUUGGGGUCCCCCCCAUUCAUAUGGGCUUUUUAUGAGGUUCCCCCGUCCAUAUAGGGUUUUUGGGGUCCCCCAUACAAAUGAUGGCAUUUUUUGGGGUCCCCCAUCCGUAUGGGGUUUUUUUGGUGUCUCCUCAUCCAUAUGGGGUUUUGGGGGGCCCUGCAUCCUUAUGGGGUUCUUCCCAUCCAUAUGGAUUUUUUUUGGGUUCCCCCCAUCCAUAUGGGGUUUUUGGGGUCCCUCCAUCCUUCUGGGGUUAUUGGGGUCCCCCAUACAAAUGAUGGCAUUUUUUGGGGUCCCCCCAUCCGUAUGGGGUUUUUUGGAGUCUCCCCAUCCACAUGGGGUCUCCCUCCAUCCUUAUGGGGUUUUUUUUGGGGUCUCCUCAUCCGUAUGGGGUCUUUUUGGGUUCCCCCCAUCCGUAUGGGGUUAUUGGAGUCCCUCCAUCCAUAUGGGGUUUUUAUGAGGUUCCCCCCAUCCAUAUGGGGUUUUUAUGAGGUUCCCCCCAUCCGUAUGGGGGUUUUUGGGGUUCCCCCCAUCCUUCUGGGGUUAUUGGGGUCCCCCAUACAAAUGAUGGCAUUUUUUUGGGGUCCCUCCAUCCAUAUGGGGUUUUUAUGAGGUUCCCCCCAUCCGUAUGGGGUUUUUAGGGUCCCCCAUCCGUACGGGGUUUUUUUUGGGGUCCCCCCCUUCACUCCCUGGCCCUCUGCGCCACCUCCUCCCCCAGCGCCUCCAGCACCUCCCUCUUGUAAUCCUGGAAAUCCCCGUCGAUUUGGUUGAGGCUCUGCUGCUCCACCACCCACAGCUGGCAGCCCGUCUCCGUGAUCAGCCGCGAGUCGUGGCUCACGAUGAUGACGGCU